UUUUGGGGUGUUGACUUGUGUAAGUUCUUUGUAUAUUUUGGAUACUAACCCUUUAUUUGAUAUGUCAUUUGCAAAUAUCUUCUCCCAUUCUGUGGGCUGCAUUCUAGUUUUGCUGAUUGUUUCCUUGCCCUUGAAGAAGCUUU